GAGAGACCGAGGUUACCAUUUAUGUUAUACUUAACGGGGUUGUAUGUGAAUAUUGAUUAUGAAAGAGAACAAAUCAGGUUGCAACAGCUUUUUUACGAAAUUGUUGCUGAUUCCGAACCAGAACCGUACAGUGCGGUGCAGUGGAGUGUAUAAAAAAAUGAGGAAACAAAAGGACAAUAAUUUCAGUUUGUUUUGGACAUUUGUUGAAUAAUUUUAUUUUUUUUUUGUGACAUUUCAACCCUUGUCGAUAUGUUUGUUGAUAUUUUGUAUUCAAAAACUUGACAUGUUUUUGUAAAUUGUUUGUCAAUUAUGUUAGUAUCUAAAAGAAGGCAAUUUUUUUAAUGUGCAUUUUUUUCCCGAAUAUAAAUAAAUAUUGAUAAUCUCUUGCUA
rnacentral:lncRNA from 1 species